ACGAACGCUGGCGGCGUGCUUAACACAUGCAAGUCGAACGGAAAGGCCCUGCUUUUGUGGGGUGCUCGAGUGGCGAACGGGUGAGUAACACGUGAGUAACCUGCCCUUGACUUUGGGAUAACUUCAGGAAACUGGGGCUAAUACCGGAUAGGAGCUCCUGCUGCCUGGUGGGGGUUGGAAAGUUUCGGCGGUUGGGGAUGGACGUGGGGCGUUUCAGCUUGUUGGGGGGGUAGUGGCCUACCAAGGCUUUGACGGGUAGCCGGCCGGGGAGGGGGACCGGCAACAUGGGGAAUGAGAGACGGCGCAGACGCGUACGGGAGGCAGCAGUGGGGAAUAUUGCACAGUGGGCGGAAGCCUGAUGCAGAGACGCCGCGUGCGGGAUGACGGCCUUCGGGUUGUAAAAAGAUUUCGCCGGUGACGAAGAGUGAGUGACGGUAAUGGGUAAAGAAGCACCGGCUAACUACGUG
rnacentral:rRNA from 1 species